AUUGCUGCCCAUUACUCCAUCUUCUUCUCCCUUCCCAUACCUAGCUCAACCGAACAACCAUCUACAUCCACCAACUGCGGCCAUUGCCUCCUCCUCUUCUCCAUUAAUUACCCAGACGACACACUCUCUUUUCCUCCCCACUAUCUCCACGAGGAAAAUGAAACGGAAGCAUACGAGGAGUUCGUGCAUACCCCCCCCCCCCCCAUCUAAGGUCUGUGCUCCACCUCGAGUCCUUCACCUGCUCGCAUCAUUCUCCAAUACGGUUGGGCAUCUUCAACCUUCUCCUUUUCCUCUCCACAUUGGACAAUAUUUGAAGCUACGUCCGGCAAACACUCAAGAUCGUCGUUGCCGCCAAUCGACGCCUGAAGCCCGUGGGCUGCCGUCGGAGUGUGGAUUUGGUCAACCUAUAGGUUGAGGAGCCCACCUCUGCUACUGCCACUUACCUGCCCAAGAAUGACGUCCUGAAGCGCACCUCAGGCUGGACAUGUGAAGUAGCAAGUCCUUGCUACUUUGCUAGCAUACACUUAGCAGCACAAGAACGACACUAUCUCAACCGCACCUAAGGUUGGACGUGUGAAGAACUGAAGAUGCAACUCCUAGCUAGCAACCAGCUCACAUGUGAGAUCACCCCGGCCUUGUUAAUGUGUGAUUCUGAACAUGGAUGCGGUGGCAAAAAUGAUUAUACCUAUGUGUUUUUUCCUUUUUUUAUCUACCCUUUGUAUCAUCCAAGAAAGAGUAGUCGUAUAUUGUAUAUUCUAUAUGGCCAUUUGUCCUUUUUCCAUAAUAUCACACAAUCCAGUGAAGUGGAAGCUGAAUUUAUUUGUGAUGGCGGCCCAUAAAUUUCUAAUAUUCCAUCUAUUAUCUCAUUUUCUUAUAUCCAUGUAUCCGGAGAAUGAUGGAUGCAAAAUAACUUAGCAGGUGAUAAUGAACAUGGAUCCCGAGUAAAGUGAUUCAAAUUAUUCCAUGUAAUUUACUAAUCCCAGCUUUAAUUCAGUAUCACUUUCCCCAUUGUCCCUUGAUUGUGUGACCUUGCCUCAUGAUGCAUCAAUGGGGAUUUAGCAUAUUCCAGAUUUUAGUGUGUACACUAAAUUUACAACAGCAACCAACAUGACACUCUUUUGUUAUAGUAUGUGAUAUGUUUAUUCGUGACUAUCAAACUAGCACUUAGGUGAGCAUUGCAUACUUGGAAUGAUUCUAUGAUAUUGAUUUGUAAGGCCGGGUCAGAUUCUUCUAAUGGUUACUUAUUCAAAUUCAUAAAUAUAUAUGGUAUUUAUUCCAACUUACAAGGUGCUUAAUCCUGAAAUAUGUUUUUAGCUCGAUUGAUAUCCACAAUUAAUAAAUGUACAUUAGUUUUAGAUUCUGAAUAUUCAAAGGUAUAUUAACACAUUUCCGCAGCAACCCGCGGGACAUCAUCUAGUUUCUUUAGCCCUUAUUCUAAGAGAGCUAAUUAGCAGUCAUUUAUCAUUGCCUCUUAAUUUCUCUUUGUCCUCGGUAUUUAUUUUCUUUAUUUGCUCCAUCUUUCUUUCUUCAUUCUUUCAGGUUUUCUUUCCCGAGUUUUUGUUUUAUUUGCUCUAUCAGCAUUCCAUUGCCGAAGAAGAUGCGAGGCCACCACCUAGGCUUCAAGAAACACGACAGUACAGGCAGUGUGAGCAGUAGUGAUUGAAGCCGGGGGCGGUAGCUCUGGCGGUGGCAGCCAUUGAUUGUGAGGGGGCGGCACUGGGAGCACGGUGGUACAGGCACUAUGAGCGGCGGUGAUUGAAGUCGGAGGCGGUAGCUCCGGCGGCGGCAGCCGGCGAGGACGAGAUCGUUGGUGGCUAGGCAGAGGCGAAAUAAAAGUAGAAAACCGUUGAACAUGUGUUUUUGGCUAUGGCUAUGAUCAGGUGAUUCUGUUUCCUCA